rnacentral:rRNA from 1 species
CGCGUAGGUGGCCCGGUCAGUCAGUGGUGAAAGCGCGGGGCUCAACUCCGCGUCGGCCAUUGAUACUGCUGGGCUUGAGCACUGUAGAGGCAGGCGGAAUUCCGGGUGUAGCGGUGGAAUGCGUAGAGAUCCGGAAGAACACCGGUGGCGAAGGCGGCCUGCUGGGCAGUAGCUGACACUGAGGCGCGCAGCGUGGGGAGCAAACA